GAGUUUGAUCAUGGCUCAGGAUGAACGCUAGCGGCAGGCUUAAUACAUGCAAGUCGAGGGGCAGCACGGGUAGCAAUACCUGGUGGCGACCGGCAAACGGGUGCGGAACACGUACGCAACCUUCCCAUAACUGGUGAAUAGCCCUCCGAAAGGAGGAUUAAUACACCGUAACAUAAUGAAGUGGCAUCACUUUAUUAUUAUAGGCAGCAAUGUCGGUUUUGGAUGGGCGUGCGCCUGAUUAGGUAGUUGGCGGGGUAACGGCCCACCAAGCCUGCGAUCAGUAACUGGUGUGAGAGCACGACCAGUCACACGGGCACUGAGACACGGGCCCGACUCCUACGGGAGGCAGCAGUAAGGAAUAUUGGUCAAUGGACGAAAGUCUGAACCAGCCAUGCCGCGUGAAGGAUGAAGGCCCUCUGGGUUGUAAACUUCUUUUAUCUGGGACGAAAAAAGCUCAUUCUUGAGCACUUGACGGUACCAGAGGAAUAAGCACCGGCUAACUCCGUGCCAGCAGCCGCGGUAAUACGGAGGGUGCAAGCGUUAUCCGGAUUUACUGGGUUUAAAGGGUGCGUAGGUGGGUCUGUAAGUCAGUGGUGAAAUCUCCGGGCU
rnacentral:rRNA from 1 species